rnacentral:tmRNA from 1 species
GGGGCUGACCGGUUUCGACAGCAAGGCCAGUGGGUAAGAUAGCAUGCAGAGAACCACAGCGCGAUCUCUUUAAUCCCUUGCUGUAUAUUUUAACUGGCAACCAAGAGUAUGCUCUUGCUGCGUAAUCCGAAGUUUAGUACGAUACGCGUUUUUCCCGAAGUAUAGUAAGGAAACAAGAUGUCCCCCAGAAGCUCGGUUUCGCGGCGUCUGAUUCGGGGGCAUAGGAAAUGCGAAAAUAAGUCCCAGUAGUCUUCGGACUGGGAACGAAAAUUUUAGAAGAUACGUAGUGGUUUGGGUGUCUGUCUCCGUACCACUGCCGACAACCAAUGGCAGAAUAAGCAUGUAGAAGUCUUAUGUACUGCUUGUUUGGACGAGAGUUCGAAUCUCUCCAGCUCCACAA